AUUGAACGCUGGCGGCAGGCUUAACACAUGCAAGUCGAGCGAGCGGCGGACGGGUGAGUCAUGUCUGGGAAACUGCCUGAUGGAGGGGGAUAACUACUGGAAACGGUAGCUAAUACCGCAUACCAUCAGAUGUGCCCAGAUGGGAUUGGCUAGUAGGUGGGGUAACGGGUCACCUGGGCGACGAUCCCUAGCGGGUCUGAGAGGAUGACCAGCCACGCUGGAACUGAGACACGGUCGAGACUCCUACGGUAGGCAGCAGUGGGGAAUAUGGUAAAAUGGGCGCAAGCCGGAUGCAGCCAUGCAGCGUGUGUGAAGAAGGCCUUCGGGUUGUAAGGCACUUUCAGCGAGGAGGCGUUUCUCGCAGAAGAAGCGCCGGCUAACGCCGUGCCAGCAGCCGCGGUAAUUC
rnacentral:rRNA from 1 species